rnacentral:rRNA from 1 species
GACGAACGUUGGCGGCGUGCUUAAUACAUGCAAGUCAACUGAAGCACCGGUAGUAAUACUGGUGUGGAGGUGGCGCACGGGUGAGUAACACGUAGGUAAUCUGCCUUCAGGUCUGACAUAACCCGAGAAAUCGGGGCUAAUAGCAGAUGAUGCAGCGGCUUGACAUCAAGACAGUUGUUAAAGCUUCGGCGCCUGAAGAUGAGCCUGCGUCCGAUUAGCUAGUUGGCGGAGUAAUGGCCCACCAAGGCUACGAUCAGUAACUGGUCUGAGAGGAUGAUCAGUCACACUGGAACUGAGACACGGUCCAGACUCCUACGGGAGGCAGCAGUAAGGAAUAUUGCUCAAUGGGAGAAAUCCUGAAGCAGCAACGCCGCGUGAGGGAUGAAGGGCUUUUGCUCGUAAACCUCUGUAGUGAGGGAAAAAUUUCCACUCUGUGGAAUAUGAUGGUACCUCAAAAGUAAGCCCCGGCUAACUACGUGCCAG